rnacentral:tRNA from 1 species
GCGGGUGUAGUUUAGUGGUAAAACCCUAGCCUUCCAAGCUAAUGAUGGGGGUUCGAUUCCCCCCACCCGCUUCA